rnacentral:rRNA from 1 species
AGUGAACGCUGGCGGUAGGCCUAACACAUGCAAGUCGAACGGCAGCACAGGAGAGCUUGCUCUCUGGGUGGCGAGUGGCGGACGGGUGAGGAAUACAUCGGAAUCUACUCUGUCGUGGGGGAUAACGUAGGGAAACUUACGCUAAUACCGCAUACGACCUACGGGUGAAAGCAGGGGAUCUUCGGACCUUGCGCGAUUGAAUGAGCCGAUGUCGGAUUAGCUAGUUGGCGGGGUAAAGGCCCACCAAGGCGACGAUCGGUAGCUGGUCUGAGGGGAUGAUCAGCCACACUGGACCUGAGACACGGUCCAGACUCCUACGUGAGGCAGCAGUGGGGAAUAUUGGACAAUGGGCGCAAGCCUGAUCCAGCCAUACCGCGUGGGUGAAGAAGGCCUUCGGGUUGUAAAGCCCUUUUGUUGGGAAAGAAAUCCAGCUGGCUAAUACCCGGUUGGGAUGACGGUACCCAAAGAAUAAGCACCGGCUAACUUCGUGCCAGCCGCCGCCGUAA